UACGUAGGGUGCAAGCGUUAAUCGGAAUUACUGGGCGUAAAGCGUGCGCAGGCGGUCGUGCAGGACAGAUGUGAAAUCCCCGGGCUUAACCUGGGAACUGCAUUUGUGACUGCACGGCUGGAGUGCGGCAGAGGGGGAUGGAAUUCCGCGUGUAGCAGUGAAAUGCGUAGAUAUGCGGAGGAACACCGAUGGCGAAGGCAAUCCCCUGGGCCUGCACUGACGCUCAUGCACGAAAGCGUGGGGAGCAAACAGG
rnacentral:rRNA from 1 species